AGCACACACCAAAAUAUUAAUUUCACUUCAACAAUGGAAAAAGUGAUGAUUAUUAUGCUUUUCAUCUCAGCACAGGACUUUGUGUGCUGGGGGCAAGACAAAGUUGAACAGCCUUCUGAAGAAAUGACUGCAGAUGAAGGAGAUCCAGUCACUCUACAGUGCAAUUAUUCUACCAGUGCUACAAAUGUAUAUAUUUACUGGUACAAACAGCUACCAAACAGAUCACCAACAUUCAUGCUGAGUAAAUUUAGUUUUGGUCAAGGAAAUACUGAGGAUGAAUUUAAGGACAGAUUUUCUGCAACACUAGACUCCAAAUCAAAAACAGUUCCACUCACAAUCCAGGAUGUGCGUGUGUCUGACUCUGCUGUGUACUACUGUGCUCUGCAGCCCACAGUGACUGAAACACACUCAACACUCACACAAAAAGUGUAUCUACCACAAUCCAGUCCUGUCAUCAUAAUAUAAUCACAAACACCACAUACAAUCCAAAAAAUAAAAAAUCUGCA